UGCUUUACAGACAAAUGCGUCUGCAUUGUGAAACAUCUGACCAUAUACUUUACUGUUGGUGUAUCUCCCCUGGUGCGUUGCAUCCCCUCUGAAGAGCUGGCAGCAAGUCAACUAUUCAAUCAGCAAAUCGGUUUUCCAAUUGCAGAGGUCUGACUAAUUUUCUGGCUGAGACCCCAAAUCGGGGAAAUUAAAUCAAUACAUUUGAAUACACAUGGAUUAUGAUGACUUGGCGCAUAUGCUGAUUAUGCGGACAACGUUGAGAAUUCUGUGCGGCUCUACAUGUACCC